GGGGCAAUGGCGCAGUUGGGAGCGCGUUACACUGAAGAUGUAAAGGUCACCGGUUCGAUCCCGGUUUACCCCA